rnacentral:rRNA from 1 species
CCUACGGGAGGCAGCAGUAGGGAAUAUUGCUCAAUGGGGGAAACCCUGAAGCAGCAACGCCGCGUGGAGGAUGAAGGUUUUAGUAUUGUAAACUCCUUUUGUUAGAGAAGAUAAUGACGGUAUCUCACGAAUAAGCACCUGCUAACUCCGUGCCAGCAGCCGCGGGAAUACGGCGGGUGCAAGCGUUACUCGGAAGAACUGGGCGUAAAGAGUUCGCAGGCGGGCUUGUAACUCAGAUGUGAAAUCCUGUAGCUUAACUACAGAACUGCAUUUGAUACUAUGAGACUAGAGUGUGGGAGAGGUAGGUGGAAUUCUUGGUGUAGGGGUAAAAUGCGUAGAUAUCAAGAGGAAUACUAAUUGCGAAGGCGACCUACUGGAACAUUACUGACGCUCAUGCACGAAAGCGUGGGGAGCAAACAGGAUUAGAUACCCCUGUAGUC